rfam:Oryza nivara chromosome 6, whole genome shotgun sequence.
UUUAAGUGCUUCCGCGUCCAAUUUUAAUCGUCCGUCUUAUUUAAAAUUUUUUUUAUAAUUAGUAUUUUUGUUAUUAUGAGAUGAUAAAAUAUGAAUAGUACUUUACUUAUGACUUAUAUUUUUAAUUUUUUUCAAAAAUUUUUUAAAUAAGAUGGACAAACGAUCAAAAUUAGAUACGGAAAAACAUAGUUGCAUUUAAA